rnacentral:tRNA from 1 species
UAAAAAGUAGACUAAUUUAAAGUCUUUAGACUCAUAAUCUAACAAUAAAUAAUUUUCUUUUUAA